rnacentral:rRNA from 1 species
ACGCUCGACACCUACGGGAGGCAGCAGGUGGGGAAUAUUGGGCAAUGGGCGCAAGCCUGACCCAGCAACGCCGCGUGAAGGAAGAAGGCCCUCGGGUUGUAAACUUCUUUUAACAGGGACGAAGCAAGUGACGGUACCUGUUGAAUAAGCCACGGCUAACUACGUGCCGGCAGCCGCGGUAAUCUGAGGCGGGCUGGCAAGGC